CACAGGUGCUAGCCAUUAGAGAGCAUUCAAGAUGGGCCUUGGUUCAGCAAACUGGUUGUAGGCUGGUGUAAUCUUAAGCAACUGCUUGGGCUUUUGAUGGUCAAGACUGCUCAAAGUUAUGCAGGUACUUCAGUACUUUGAUAAUUAGGGUCUUCAGAAGCAGAGACUAGGCUGUGAAGAGGAAAGGGUACAGUCAUUUUUCCUGGUCCUCGUACACUUCCUGCUUUAGGGAGUCAUUUUGAAAUGCUAAAGGAUCAGCUCUGCAGCUGUAGGUGUCCUAUGUACCAGUGAAACUAAAAUCCAGUAACAACGUGGAGAAGAAAUAGCCAGACACCAUAGCACAUAUUGCCUCAGGACAUCAAAAUGCCCCAAACUGGCCAGGGCAACAGACUCCACCUCGGACAGCAAGCUGGGUGCCCGAGAUCGCCUUGAUGAACAAUCGCUCUCAUGGCGAAGUCCCAGCUCCGGCGCGCUCCUGAGAGAUGACAUGAGGAACGUCCCUUGUGCGUGGCAGUUGCCUGCUGCGAGAGUUGGCAACCUGGACAAACGAGGCGCGCUGCUGCCUUGGGGUGAAGAGACGGAGAGGAUGUGUCCGAGGGAGAAUCAGUGGCUGAGCAAACGUGCAAGAAGCUGGGAGGAAAAGCACAUCGAAUUGCAUUUCUGAGCACCCCGCGAUGCCAGUGCGUCUGGCUGACGAUAGCAUCCCAAGUUGGUCCCUGGUGAGCCGAGCCCCCCAGCUGCCUGCAGACUUAUAAGGGAAAAGGGCAUCUCCGUCUGCUGAAACCACAGCCCUGUCUGCCUUCACGUGAGAGCGUGACCGGAGCAGUAAAAGGACCCGGCUCCACCCAAGACUGAAAGAUCUUCCUUUUUGAGGAGCUCUCUGUGCCUUCUGCUCAGUGCUGGCCCAUGCAACAGCCCUAAAUCUCUUGGGGAAACUCUCUGCAGUCAUCUGAGAUGUCUCAGCAUCAGGGAAACACUUGACUUGUUGUAGGUCUGUGUUGCAGACCUCUUCUGCCUGGGUUGAUGAGAGGCUGGUUGGGAAGAAUGAAGAUCACCUGUCUGCACUGAGUUCAGCUGCCAGUGGAGUAUAAUUAAUUGACCAAAGGGUCAAGCAUCUAGUUUUACUUAGAGUGACAAGCAGCCCUGGGGCAAGAAGAGGAAACACCUCUACCUACAGUUGUCAUCCAGCUUCUAGUCUGGUUUCUUCCCAGAUCCACUCUAGGCGACUUGCUCCUCCAGCCAUGAGGUGCCUGCUGUCUAUGGGUUCCCUUGCAUUCCUCCCGGGGACAUCUGCUCUGGUUAGCAGGGUUUAGGACGGAUGGUUACCUGUCAAAAGACUUUGACUUCUUCUCUGCCAGAACUUCUGCAACUUGCUUUCUUGUAUUCAAAGAUCUAGCUUUUCCCAAGAGCAACACACCAGUGAGAAAGGUGAUUUGUUAUCAACUGCAUACGGCACAGCUAAAAGGCUCAUAAAACUUUAGCAAGUACCAUAUUUCAACGCACAUAUGCAGAAAAAUAUAAUGCACACCUUGUUUCUUGAAAAGUAAAAUGAAGGGGAAGAAACAUCUUCCAUUGGAAGUAACCAUAUAGCAGCAGCUAAGAAGCAUGUUCUGCUCCCUGUUUGUUGCGGGCAGAUUUUACUUCCACUUUUUCCAGGAAGGGGCAGAAAUUGCUCUGACCGUAUUUCUCGCAUGGAAACUGCAGUGCAUAUUACAGCAGCUGGGGGGGGGUGGGGAGGGGUGGUGUAUUGCAUAUGAGAAAAUAUGCUAUUUUCCAGCUGCAUGCAGGGUGUCGGGAUAUAGCAGGAUAUCCAGCUAUAUUCAAGGCAUCAGGAGUCUGCGGAGCGGGCUUCGAGGGAAUAGAGGUGCGUUUCCCUGUAGUGGUCCUAGGUACCUGGCAGCUCAGCUUCUGUAAUUAGCACUUAAGCUCAGUUGCAUAGUUAAUUAAAGCCAGCUUCAGUUAGCACAGCAUUAUUAGGCACUCUGACUGAAUACUUGUGAACUACCAGGAUGGCAUCCCGCUAUGGGCUGGGGCCGGUGGGAUAAUACGAUAGUUACUUUGGGAUAGUGCUCCCCCACAGUUAGGUCUAGGAGGACCUACCCUAUACAUCCAGGUUAUGGCCUGCUUGUACAUGGUCAAUGUUGGAUGGGAACCAGGCUUCCUCUUUUGGGGGCCGGUUUCCAGUUUUUCUACCAUCUCAAAAUUUAGCAGAAGCCUGGUUGGUUGGCUUGUUUAUUUAAAUUUCCUGCAAAAUGAAUUUCUGGAAGCAUUUUGGAUUGCUCUGAUUUGAAGCAUUUCAUUUAGCUAACGAUCAAAGCCUGUUGUUCUGAUUUGGGCCUUUUGUAAAGGUUUUUAAAAAAGGAUAGAUGUUUAUAAAAUGUAUUUGUUUAAUUUGAAAAGCUGGUCAGCAGCAUUCUGCAAACUCUGAGAGGAAGCCUCAACACCAUCGAGGAUCUUUGCUUAGGUUUUUCAAAUUAAUUUUCAUUACAAUCAGCUUUUUCUUUCCUCUUCUCCCUCCCCACCCCCCUCUUCUUUCAACAGGGGGAGGAGAUGAAUUGCCACUUUUUGUCAAAAGCAAAAUAUUUCUUGUGUCUACUCUUCUAUGGACUUGACAGAGAUGGGUCUGCAGGAUUUUCUGUUUACAUCCAAGUUAUUAUCCAUUGCCUUUCCUCUGGUAGGAUUUAGACAGUUUGAUUAAAUCUUACUCAUGACCAACCACUUGCUGAAGUCCAAGCCAUUGGCUUAUUUUAGCAUGUUCCUAUACAUAAUUGAGUAACGCACCAUAACUGACCUCGCUGCAUGGGUCGGUUGGAUGGGAACCAAGCCUGGUCCCCAUCCAACAUAGGUCUUCCUAGGUUAUGACCAACACUACACAUCCAGGACUUUAACUGGGGAGGUGGUAGAUGUACUGCAUUUCAUGAGGCUGGCUGUUUCUCUAUUUUUUUGGUUUAAUGGAAGAAAAGGCAUGCUCCUACCCAAUCUGCUUUUCUAUUCUUCUGGUGCACUUAAUGUCUCCAGCCAAUGGCUUCCUUAGCUAGUUUUCAACAGCUUCAUGCAAUGGUUGGGGGUUCAGUCUGAUUUCUGUGAAGGAGAUGUGAAACAACACACUGUGUGAAUUUUGCCAUGGUUUUCCCAGUGGAGAAAACCCCAAAGGAGUUCAUAGGGGUGGGUGAAAUGUAUACCCCGGUAGAAGUGUUUUGGAUGGUGUUGAAGAUAGUCAUCAAUGUCUCAGGAAAAGGGAAUGUUUCUUAAAUAUGUUCCCACAGCCUCUUGUCCUGCAUUUGGUUCUGACUAGUUUUUACAUUCUUUUAAUUUUUAUCUACUAAUUAAUUUUUUUUUAAUCAUAUCCUUCAAAUCAGAGCCGGAACAAAAUGGCUAGUGUUUCCUGGGCCUGGUUUAUCUGCUCAGGAUGUGCCCUUAGCAUUGCUUGUACUAUAUAGGGGGAAAGUGGGUACCAUUGGUUCACUGGAGUUGCCUGGUCCUAGAAGCUGUCUGACUUCUCCAUCUUCUAAGGAUAGAAGUGGGCUCCAUCCUUCAAAUACUGCGCUGUCCUCCCCACCCAAAGAUCACCAGGCUGGGAUAGUCUGCUGAUGCAACCUAGGCACCAUAAAAUCGAAGAUGGGGUGGGUGCUCAUGUUGUCAGCACCCUUCUUUAAAGCUCUUUGCUGGGUGGUUAUUAUCCAAUGGAGGGUGGGUCACAUUGUCAGGCUCCUUUUUUUAAGUCCAAGUGGUUAUUAUCCAACAGGGAACUAAAUUCUUGCAUUGAACAGUGCACUCGAGAGGCAACAGGAAGGCUUCAUGUCAGAUGUGGGUUAAAAAGUACUUUGGAAGCCACAACAAUCACACACUUCUUCCAUGGGUCCUGCAGAACAGGGCUAAGUAACUUGCUCGAGUUCAUGCAGGAUGUCGGUGGCGGGGUAGGGCAUUUUAACUUGUAUCUUGGGUUCUAGGUUAGCAACUUCACCCUUAAGCCACUCUUCCUUCCUCCCAGGGGGGAUAUGAGCAAUGACAGGAUAAGCAACUUGGAGCUGGCAUGAGCAAUGGCUGGAUGAAGUACCACCUGCUGGGGGCCAGGCUGGAUAGCAAAGGUUCAGCAUUUGCAACCCAUCUUGGUAUUCUGGGGGGAGAACGGAAACAUGGUGGGGGAGUGCUGAUGACAAUAAUUCACUUAUAAUUUUUGGAAACUGUCAGCGGGUUGGGAUCGAAGCAACCCAACUGGGUGGGAGAGGCUGGGAUAGACCUAUUGCAAGAACCUGCUGGUUUGGGGACGUUGGCUUCAGGUUCUGGGUGGCACGAGAUGCAACAAGCAAUGGUAAUAAAAACAGUUAACCCAACUGUCCAAGCCUCUAGAAAAAGUUUGGGUCUAGUUCAACUACAGACUUGAGUUUCUGGUCAUGGCGAUGCUAAAGUGAGCUGAAGAAGAACACGCUGUUCCUAAUGUCAAGUACUUGGCCCAUCACUUUAGGCUGCUGAGCUACUCCAAUGUUCUCGCUACAGAUCCGAGAGCCCCUUUGAAUAUAUUUGCACACCACUUAAUGCCAUUAAUAAUGCUAACAAGGCAUGAUAAAUACCGGUACUUAGCAUUGAUUAGAUUAAAACAUCUGUCUUGCAAGUAUUGAAGGCUUCUUGUACCAGGGCACUCUCUUCUCUGACUUGGUAUGGAAGUCAGGGAGCAAUGACUGUUAGAAAUGGAAAAAAAAAUGCACACAUUUAAUGAUCAGAAAUAGGUUUGGGGCGGGAGGAAAAUUUCUGGAUCGAUUAUUGGUAGCGUUGGAGUGAUAUGGCAAUUGGGGCAGUCCAGGAACUAUGCAAGAGGCAAGGAUUUUUGUGGGCGAUAUGUAUUUAUUGUUUUUAUUGGACAAACUGUGUAGCUGGGAUGCACUUAGACAAGACGUUGAAUGCAGCUCAUUCUUCUUCAGUCUCUCCCAACCCUGACACUGAUCCAAUAAAAGAUACUACCCACAAAAAAUCCUUGCCUGGAUCUUUCAUUCCUGUUUUAGAGCAGCAGAGAAACCUCUUGCCUACAGCUGCCCCUUUGUUGAAGCAUGAAAACGCCUACUCUCCUAGUGUUGGGGCUUUUGCCCUUUUUAAGGAACCAGACCGGAAUAAUUGGAUACCAAACAACAAUGUUUUUGAGAUGUACAGGAAAAGUGUAGCUAGAUCCAUACCGCACUGCCUAGUUUCAGGCUGGUUCCUAAAUCCUAGACUCCGGUGAACAUAUUUUGGGAACUCGCAGAGUACUUGAAGGGGCCAGAUUUGAUCCCCGGUCCUUUAUAUUAAAGGUGGCUAAGCUGCAGCUUGCAAAUCGCAUAUGGCUCCUGGGUAGCUGACAUGCAGUUACUAAAGAAAUAGUAGUAGUUAAAUAAAAACUUCCUCCUCCUCCUCCCUAGCUGUUUUAAUCUUUUGACACUAGGAAAUGGGCUUUGUGUGUUGUGUCCUGUGGCUCUUGGCUGGGUUGAAAUUUUGGUUGGUGGCUGGAAGGGUUAGGACGUUUGGCCACUCUUGUUUUUAACAGACCGGGUUCCCUCUUCAACGGCCCUGGAGAGGUGGUGGUAUGAUUGCUGUAUAUCUACUUUUUGCCUCUAAGAAGCAGGAAUUGAACCAGAGGCCUCGAGUUGUAGAAGCAUGAACGUCUACUCUAACAUAAGCCGAAAGAGUGAAUCCUUUUCCAGCCAGGGUAGUAGUCUGCAAUCUUCUUAUGUGGACCAGCUUUUAAAGGACUAUAAGGAUCCCCAGCCUUUUAACGUGAAUAAUAUUGCAAUAAUCUUUAAGUCAUGAGAAGGAUUCAUGUUAGUGUUAGUCAUAAAAAUAAUCAUUAUCACGUGCAAAAUUGCUUUAAAACGCUCUGAGCGCACCCCUCCAGUCACCUCUGUCUGUGACUUGCUAACGAAAGGGCUUUGGGGGCUGGUUCCUGCAGAUUGAAGCCGUGAUUGUUUUAAUGGGGUCCGGACAGGUGUGUGUGUAUGCCUCUGGGGAACGGCAAAGAUGGAGUCCAGCCCAGCACCCCCUGUUCCUAACUUGACUUCAAACAUUGCUGCUGAGUGGUCACAAGAUGAUAAUUUAAUUAAACCCUUCUUUCCCACUUGACCUUUCAGCAAAAGCCAAGUCAUGAUUCCUCAUGUAAAUUCUUUCCUCUCAAAUGCAUGCACUCAUAGCCACGAAGGAACAACACACUCGUGCAUCGGCAGUCACAAGCACUUGCCUUUGCACGUCCUAAUGUGAAAACUUGGCCUUGGUUUGAGAAGUAUUAUUUUUGAUCCUGAUGGGGACCAAAUUCAUUCUUGCUGCAACUCCUGUGACCUCUCUGCCCUUUCCCCUACAAUGCAUUUGAUCUGGCAUGUUCCAUUUGUGUACUCCAUGGUUUCUAUUAAGUUUCCAGUGGAAAAAGUGCAGUGAGAAGAUUCAUCCCCUAUGAAAUACCUCCAUGCGUAGCAAAACAUUCAGCUGCAUGGUGAUGACACUGGAUGUAAGUAAGAGAAAUUAGUUUGUUCAGUGGGAGAGGCUGCAAGGAGGUGGGGAGUGGACCCACAUGCCCUGGAGGAAAGAGCAAUGGCCCUGCCGCUCCAGGAGGAAGCCUCCACCCAAAAGUUUUACCAUCUGCAAGGCAAAACAAGACACUAAAAGGAUGCAUUGCAAAGUAGAGCAGCAGGUUUGGACGCUGAAAUACAGGACAUAGUGGUGGUGUCUUAAAGACGAGCAUGGGAAAAAGGACCUUUUGCAAUGGGCCAGGAGAUAAGCGAUGCUGUGGGUUAGAUCCAUCGUGCGCCAUGAUCUGUAAAAAAGAUGCCAUUGGGGUAAAACCUUUCAUAGACAUCAUUUUCUCCCCCCUCCCCAAAUAUCCAGUUCUACACAACAGUGCACAGUGCGGGCAUUACUUCAAGAGCCGGGAAGUGAAGGGACCGUCUCUCAUUCAUUCCAGGUGGCCUAAAAUCAUUGAAGUGCACACGGUUACAUCUGCUCUGAUCUUCAAUAGCACAAAGCACCUAUUUAGUGCUGUAGAUCAUCAGAGAACCAGGCAAGCAUUAAAUGUGCUGUCUGCAGAAAGCUGGCUGCUUUCCUUUUACCUGGUAUGGUGCUCUGUGUGCCGACAGGGUGGGGCGCAACCUCAUCCCCGGCAUGGUGGG